UCCUAUUAGCUUCUACAACUUGAAGAGUA
rnacentral:piRNA from 1 species